rnacentral:rRNA from 1 species
GAUGAACGCUGGCGGCGUGCCUAAUACAUGCAAGUCGAGCGAACGGACGAGAAGCUUGCUUCUCUGAUGUUAGCGGCGGACGGGUGAGUAACACGUGGAUAACCUACCUAUAAGACUGGGAUAACUUCGGGAAACCGGAGCUAAUACCGGAUAAUAUUUUGAACCGCAUGGUUCAAAAGUGAAAGACGGUCUUGCUGUCACUUAUAGAUGGAUCCGCGCUGCAUUAGCUAGUUGGUAAGGUAACGGCUUACCAAGGCAACGAUGCAUAGCCGACCUGAGAGGGUGAUCGGCCACACUGGAACUGAGACACGGUCCAGACUCCUACGGGAGGCAGCAGUAGGGAAUCUUCCGCAAUGGGCGAAAGCCUGGCGGAGCAACGCCGCGUGAGUGAUGAAGGUCUUCGGAUCGUAAAACUCUGUUAUUAGGGAAGAACAUAUGUGUAAGUAACUGUGCACAUCUUGACGGUACCUAAUCAGAAAGCCACGGCUAACUACGUG